AACAAGAAGAUGAAUAACAAUGGCUACCAGAGGUCAACCAAGCUCUGAUACCAUGUUGAUAAUGGAAGAUCUCUAACAGAAGGAAAAGUUACAGAGUAAAAAUAUAACUGAAAGCAUUGUAGAAGAUAAAGAUGAGUAAAAAAUCUAUUAUCUUCAUUGAUUAAUCAAUAAGCCAGAUUACUAUUAUAUAUACAGAUAUAUCGGUCC
rnacentral:lncRNA from 1 species